GGCCCUCGGACUACACGGCGAAAUUACCUAGGGCCGCUUCUGUUUGCAUCCCUUCUGAAUAAACCUCUGUGGCUUGUCUUCAGCAUGCUGAGUGUUCCUUUUAUCCGUGGUCCUAGUUAAUCCACUUCAUGUCUGUGUGUGAACGUCAAGGUGUCACACUCCCAAGCCAGGAAGAGUCUUUCCCAAAUGUUUUGCUUCAGUGGCAUUGCUGUGAGACAGACAUUACAGUGUGCAAUUGCUCAGCAGGCUGGAUAGAAAGUCAUGUGCGCCUACAUCUUACAACACAAAAGUGACGCUGACAUCACUCGUCUAUGGGUCUGUUUUCCAGGCAAGAAACGCACUUGACCAUUCCUGCCCGUUGCCUCUACCAAACUCAUGUGAAUGGAUCCCAGGCAGUUCAACAGAACGUGUACUUCUGGACCCCAGGACUGCUCAUCGACGGAUCAUCAUCUCUCCAGAUCAGAGGAGUGCGAAAUGGGGACCAAUAGAGCAGCCCCUUCCCAACAACACUGAACGAUUUGACCAAUGGGUUUGGGUCUUGGGUAAUAAAGGUUACCCUUCAGGAAAACAUUGCUGGGAGGUUGAAGUGAAGGGCAAUGGGGAAUGGGCCGUGGGGGUCGCCAAGGAGUCAGUGAAAAGAAAAGGGUUGCCUGAUUUUAGCACCACUGAGGGCAUCUGGGGCAUUGGGGAAUACUGGGGGCUGGGUAACUAUUUAGCUUUCACAUAACUCCCAGGAUUCCAUAACUAAGUCAUUGCAGUUAAAGUUACAAUGAAUUAAUUCUACAGUGUUGAUGGAUGCACAUUGCCAUAUAAUCCAGUUUCAGAAUGCAAAUAAACAGCAUUAUUCCAGGUGAGGUCUGACCAAAGCAGAAUAGAGUGGGACUGUGACUUCUUUAGUUCUGGAUGCUCUACUCCUAUGAUGCAUCCUAGCAUUGGCUUUUUAGCUGCUGCAUCACACCACUGACUUAUAUUGAGCUGGUCCUCUAUUAAAUAAUAUCCUUGAUCCCUAAAGAGACUUUGGAUGCAUCUACACUGCCACAUAAUCCACGAUAGGAAGAAUCUUUCCCAAAUGUUUUGCUUCAGUGGCAUUGCUGUGAGACAGACAUUACAGUGUGCAAUUGCUCAGCAGGCUGGAUAGAAAGUCAUGUGCGCCUACAUCUUACAACACAAAAGUUGUAACGCUGACAUCACUCGUCUAUGGGUCUGAUUCAUCUUCCAACUGUUGCAAAAUCACAACGAUCGUUUCCCUGAUAGGAAGCCUUGCUCUGAAUGUAGCUCUAAUUAUUCUUAUUAUAGUUUUCCAGGUGAGAAACGCACCUACCAGUUCCUGCCCGUUGCCUCUACCAAACUCAUGUGAAUGGAUCCCAGGCAGUUCAACAGAACGUGUACUUCUGGACCCCAGGACUGCUCAUCGACGGAUCAUCAUCUCUCCAGAUCAGAGGAGUGCGAAAUGGGGACCAGUAGAGCAGCCCCUUCCCAACAACACUGAACGAUUUGACCAACGGGUUUGGGUCCUGGGUAAUAAAGGUUACCCUUCAGGAAAACACUGCUGGGAGGUUGAAGUGAAGGGCAAUGGGGAAUGGGCCGUGGGGGUCGCCAAGGAGUCAGUGAAAAGAAAAGGGUUGCCUGAUUUUAGCACCACUGAGGGCAUCUGGGGCAUUGGGGAAUACUGGGGGCUGGGUAACUAUUUAGCUUUCACAGCCCCACAGCACACCCCACUUCCCCUUGUCAAAAAGCCCCGGAUGAUUCGGGUCUUUCUGGACCACGGCCAAGGAAGUGUGGAAUUUUUCGAUGCAGAAGCCAAAGCGUCCAUCUACACUUUCACUUCAGCCCCAUUUUCGGGGGAAACAAUCUUACCCUGGUUCCGUGUGUGGAAUGGAACUGAACUUGUCCUACAUCCCUGAGACGUUGCCAUUGGCACCAAACUGGUCCUUCUAUAUGUAGACUGGGGCAUCUUGCUGCAUUCAUAGACUGCCUCUCCACAUUGGAGAGGAGUGGGUGAUGGGGCCACCUUGCAUUUUGGCAAACAACUCCUAUCAGCCCUAAUGAGGAAUGAUGGGAGAUGUAGUCCAAAGGCUUUCAAAAGGUCACUGUCACCUCCGUAUCGCCACACCAUUGCAAUGCUCAAAUCCUAAAAUAGGAAGGAUGGUGAUAAUAUAGUUGAUUCUCUGUUGUUAAUAAGUAGCUUUGGCCAUGGAGAUCCUCUAGCUACAGAGGCAAAUGAGUAUGAAGGACACACUGAUGGGAAGGGGUAGGGGUGGGAGUUGGUGAGUAUAUUUUGUUUUAAAUGUAAUUUUAAUUGUAUGAGUCUUUUUAUUGUAUCAUAAUUGUACUUUAACCUGUAUCCAUAACACAAAUUGUUUUUAAUUUUUGUAUUUGUCAUGUUUUUACAUUGAUUGGGUUGUGUCAUGUUAUUCCAAGCUGCCUUAUGUCCUCAUGGGAAGAAAGGUGGGGUAGAAAUAAAGUUAAAAAUAAAUACAAUAAACAUAAAUCUGG